AUAUAUAUAUAUAUAUUCAAAAAUUCUUAAUGAAAUUAUAGUAUAUAAAAUUUUGAGUUCUAAAAAAAAUAAAAAAAAAAUCCAAAGAAAGUAUCACUUUCUCUCUCCUGGUCCCGCUGUUAUUAUAACCACCCCCCUCACAAUCCGCUUCUCCCUCAUUCUCACUCACCCUUCUUCAUCUUCUCCAUCUCUCUUUCUUUCUCUCUCCUCCCCCUUGAAGAUAGCCGAUUUUUUUGGGGGUAAAAAUUCUCCAAACAACAUAAAAAUCAAAACUUUAAAGCUUUUAACUAAGGAAGCAUAUGAGUUGAGGGGAAUGUUGGCUGGCUCGAGGACUUGUUUGGAUGUAGAUCUAUUUCACUUCUUAUUACGUCGUCGGACCAGGCUUCAUUCCCCCCAAUUUUCUCUGUUUCCCAAACACAUCCUUUCUUUUACUGGAUAAUACUAAGGUUACGAGAAUCAGUGCGUUGCAUUUAAUACGCUUCGUUUAUUUCUACAUUUGACCGACUUUCUCUGGGUUUCAACUGCCUCGUUACUUAAUAAUCAGACAUUGAAAUUCUAAUUUAUUUAGUCUUAUUUUCUUCCUUUGUUUCUUCAAUCAUAUCGAACUAGUACUAUCAAUAUUAAUAUUAGUAGGGUUUUAUUGA